rnacentral:tRNA from 1 species
GCCUGGGUGGCUCAGUCGGUUGAGGGUCCGACUUCAGCUCAGGUCAUGAUCUCACAGUCUGUGGGUUCGAGCCCCACAUCGGGCU